rnacentral:rRNA from 1 species
GAUUCUCCUAGUAACGGCGAGUGAACGGAGAUUAGCCCAGCAUCGAAGCCUAUUCACUUUUGUGAACAGGGCAAUGUGAUGUUGAAGCGUGUACCUGUGAGUCGCUCAUCUACUCGAAGUCCAACUCCGAUUAUGGCAUUGGAUUUGUUCCAAAGAGGGUGAUAGACCCGUGCGAGUAGAUUUCUGUGCAUCUUUAGAGUGGCUCAUAGACGUGCAUGCUUUCGAGUCGGAUUGCUUGAGAAUGCAGUCCAAAGCGGGUGGUAAACUCCAUCCAAGGCUAAAUACUGGCACGAGUCCGAUAGUAAACAAGUACCGUGAGGGAAAGUUGAAAAGUACUCUGAAGAGAGAGUAAAUAGUACGUGAAGCUGCUUGUAAGGAAGCUGGUGGAGUCAAGCUUCAAGCCUGAAUGAUUGAUAACGAGAGUGUAUUGUAUAUGUGAGUGCUGGCUGGUGAGUCUGCAAAUGGCUCCAUGGGCUCUGUCCCAUGACAGGCGUUCUUGUGCGCGUGCCUGUGCUAGUCAAGCGUUCGCCUCUCUUAUAUCCUAUCAUCAGGCUGUCAUCAUGGUUGAUAUGGUCUCGGUGCAUGGCGUCCGAACUGUGCUCAUGUGGGUCUCUGAUCUGCUGGGCGCAGGGAGGCAGGUGGUUGUACUGUGCUUGCAUGGUCACAACGUAUACAUGGUCAUAUCCGGCCGAAUGUCAUGCUUUCUUUACUAUUGAGCCGUAUCAUUCAACUAUGCGCUCGUGUCCAUAUCCAUUGGUAGCGAGUGUAGAGAGCCAUGAUGUUGAAGUAGAUUUUCCACCCGACCCGUCUUGAAACACGGACCAAGGAGUUUAACAUGUGCGCAAGUCAAUGGGUCUGUAUGAAACCCAGAGGCGAAAUGAAAGUGAAUGAUCACCUUGUCGUGAUCUUAGGUGUGAUACGGGCUUGCCCAUACAAAGGCAGUCUGUCGCAACACCGGCCCGUCUCAAGAUGUAGUCACUUGGACCACGGUCACGAGUGCAUCAUCGAGGCGGAGCAAGAGCGUACAUGUUGAGACCCGAAAGAUGGUGAACUAUGCUUGCGUAGGUCGAAGCCAGAGGAAACUCUGGUGGAGGACCGUCGCGGUUUUGACGUGCAAAUCGAUCGUCAAACGUGAGCAUAGGGGCGAAAGACUAAUCGAACCAUCUAGUAGCUGGUUCCCUCCGAAGUUUCCCUCAGGAUAGCUGGCAAUCGCGUCGCUUUAACAGUUUUAUCCGAUAAAGCGAAUGAUUAGAGGUAUUGGGGACUAAUUGUCCUCAACCUAUUCUCAAACUAUAAAUGGGUACGAUGCUGAACUCGCUUAAUUGGAGUUUUGCAUUGAAUGUGAUUGCCAAGUGGGCCAUUUUUGGUAAGCAGAACUGGCGCUGUGGGAUGCUCCGAACGUGCAGUUAAGGUGCCCAAUGUGGACGCUCAUGAGAUACCAAAAAAGGUGUUAAUGCAUCUAGACAGCAGGACGGUGGCCAUGAAAGUCGGAAACCGCUAAGGAG